UUCUCCCUGCACAAGAACCAACUCCAUACAUAAGAGUAACCACCAGAUCCCAAAGACUAGAGUGGAUCCCUUUCUUAAGGCCCACUGUCUUUUGUCUUAAGAUUUGGAACAAUAGUG
rnacentral:snoRNA from 1 species